rnacentral:rRNA from 1 species
AUUGAACGCUGGCGGCAUGCCUUACACAUGCAAGUCGAACGGCAGCAUGGGUGCUUGCACCUGAUGGCGAGUGGCGAACGGGUGAGUAAAGCAUCGGAACGUACCGUGAAGUGGGGGAUAACGUAGCGAAAGUUACGCUAAUACCGCAUAUUCUGUGAGCAGGAAAGAGGGGGAUCGCAAGACCUCUUGCUUUACGAUCGGCCGAUGUCGGAUUAGCCAGUUGGUGAGGUAAAGGCUCACCAAGGCGACGAUCCGUAGCGGGUCUGAGAGGAUGAUCCGCCACACUGGGACUGAGACACGGCCCAGACUCCUACGGGAGGCAGCAGUGGGGAAUUUUGGACAAUGGGCGCAAGCCUGAUCCAGCCAUGCCGCGUGAGUGAAGAAGGCCUUCGGGUUGUAAAGCUCUUUCGGCGGGGAAGAAAUUGCACUCUCUAACAUAGGGUGUAGAUGACGGUACCCGCAUAAGAAGCACCGGCUAACUACGUGCCAGCAGCCGCAGUAA